ensembl:lncRNA
UGCUGUUUGGGAAGAGGCCGUCCAGCAUCUGGAGAUCGUUAGGUUCAGCUGGGUGGAUGCGAAGGACGUUGUGCGCCUCCUGGCCCCAGACAUUGGGAUGGCACGUGUGGGCCUGGUCACCUCCAAGCUGGGCCAUGAGCUGGUGAGGCCUCCUGGGACCACAGCACCUUCCCCUUUCGAUACCAUGGACCACGAGGAGGACGAGACGGCGGGAGAGAGACACAGCAUGGAGGCUUAAGGUUAUACCUGGGAAACUUCAGAAGAGAUUACGACACAGUGGGGAAGAGGAGGCCACUCAGAACUGUGCCGACAAGGCCAGCACUUCCAAGUGGAAGGCGGAGGAGUCUGGAAGGCUGGGGAGGAAGGUGCCAGCAGGUGGGAGAUGCCGCUUUCCCCUAGAAGCCCUGCAUGACGCUGCCCGGGGGCUCCUCUCCAGAGCUGCCAAGAAUUCUGGGCACCCAGGCAAAC